GUGACCGCGGAAUCAGGUUAACCGAGUUGACAGUGCAAUCGUGAUAUCGCGCGGGAAGUAGCAGUGCAAGAAACGGGAAAUUCGCUGCUCUUUUAGUCAAGUUUUUUGCUCCUAAAAAGACUUAAAGAGAACAGAAAGAGAAGUGGUGGUUGUUUUUCACACAAAUGGAAUUUGUGGAAGAGGUCGUUGUCGCGUGACUGUGUGAUAGCAAGUUUACCGCGAUAAUCCGUGAGUUUAACGAUACGAAGGCUUUGAGAAUAUAUGAUAUAAUAUAGUGAAGGUGAUCGCGUUAACGUGUAACGCGACGUUAAAAACGUCCGAAUCCAUUAUACCUUCCGUCCGAAUGUACACCUUGGAGUAACGCGCGAUUCCCCUUGUUUACGUCGAAGGAUACUCCUACAAUGUGCAGUGAUACGUAACGUCCCUUCGUAGUGAUCGUUCAUAACAGAGGAAUUGUGAGCGACAUUUUCGAUAUUUUGACAAUCGGAGUUUCGAAAAUAUAACUCUGAUUUUAAAGCCGAUCUCAAGACUGAAGACUACUUCGUAGUUACGCAUGUUUUGAAAGGAGCAAAACUUGCUUGAAUGAUGGUUGCUGCACGUGUUCCGAAGGAAAUUGCGCUUUAAGCGCUCAAGUUCGGAUAAGAUCGGAGCAUUUAGUAGUAGAAAGAUCAGUGAGAAAAAGCAGGGUGUGUGUGGGAGAGUUUGAGACUGAGAAUUGAAUCAAAGCGGGAAAAGGAAAGGAGCGGAAGGAAAAGAGAAAGCGAAGAGAAAAAGGAGGGAGAGAGAAAAAGAGAAGGAGCACGUCCUCUAGUCCAAAAAAAAAGAAAGAAAGAAAGAAAAAGGGAAGCCCAGCAGCGGGAGUUGCAGAAGAGAAGAGUCGGUGAAGAGCGUGGAGGGGGGAGUGAUGCCGGCGGUGAGCGUGGCACAGCGCCCUCCAGGUGGAAUCCCACUCCACGCCGGCGUGCCGGUAGCGGCCAGCAGCGUAACCGCCCCCGGUCCAUCGGGCCGGUGCCUCGGGGGCCCGGCAGCGCCCCCCGCCGGCUCGCCACCGCUGCCGCCGUCCUUGCAAUCCCUUGGCGGCGGCGUUGCCCCUAACAGCAACAGCAACGCUGUUGUCAAUCCCAAUAGCAUCAACCACAGCGGCAACAGCAAUAACAACAACAACCACAAUCACAACGCGCUUGCCGGGGUUGCCGGCAACCCCGUCAACAACAAUCAUCAUCUCGGCAACAACGCCUUAGGCAUCAACACGGCGAGCGGCGCCACGAAUCCUCUGCAGGCGAUGGCGUCGGCGGCAGCAUCGCUGACGCAGCUGAAUAAUAUGGCGAACGGUCCGUUGCCGCCACUCGCGGGCACGGGCCCAGCCGGACCACCGAGUCUGCCGCCGCCGCAGCCGGCGACGACGCCGACGCACGGUGGACCGCCGACCCCGCAUGGCGGGGUCAGCGCGGCGCCUCAUCUCAACGGCGCUUCGCCGAGUCCCCAUCCGAUGCCGCCCCACGGAAUGAUGAGCGGUUCGCCUCACACGCCUCACCCGCAUAUGGGGGGCGGCGGGCCCUCGCCCCAUCCCCAUCAUCCGGGGCCUCACAUGGUCGGUUCGCCGCAUCAUCCAGCGGCGCCCCAUCCGAUGGGUCCGGCCGGCAUGAUGGGGCCGGCCGGUAUGCAGCCCCAAGGCGCGCCCGGUAUCUGCGGCCCUGGACCCACCGGUCCGAUGGGUCCACACGCGCAUCCACAAGGACCAGGGGUGCCUGGACAACCGCAUUUGCACAACGACCCAUUCUUCAACUGCCAGCCUUUUCCCUCGCACUAUUACAACAGAUCGUUGCCUGUCCCCAGGAGGCAUACUCCAGCCUAUGGAUACAAUCAACCGGACUACAGACUCCACGAGUUGAACAAGAGGUUAUCGCAGCGCACGGAGGAUAGUGACAACAUCUGGUGGGAGUCCUUUGCAAACGAGUUCUUCGAAGAAGAUGCCACCCUCACCCUCCAUGUCUGCUUGGAAGAUGGACCGAAAAGAUAUUCGAUAGGAAGGACGUUAAUACCCAGGUACUUCCGUUCGAUAUUUGAUGGUGGAGUAACGGAACUUUACUAUACUUUGAGGAAUCAGAAGGAAUCGUUUCACAACACCAGCAUAACGCUGGACUGUGAUCAGUGCACAAUGGUUACGCAGUAUGGAAAGCCGAUGUACACUAAGGUGUUAACGGAGGGUAGGUUAAUAUUGGAGUUCACCUUCGACGAUCUCAUGAGGAUAAAGUCGUGGCAUAUGUCGGUGAGGACGCAUCGGGAACUGGUUCCGAGGAGCGUUGUCAGUAUGCAGCAGGACCCGACAAUGCUUGAGCAGAUUAGCAAAAACAUCACUAGGCAGGGCAUGUCCAACUUCACUCUCAACUACCUUAGAUUAUGCGUGAUUCUGGAGCCGAUGCAGGAACUGAUGUCGAGGCACAAGGCGUAUGCGUUGUCACCUCGUGAUUGUCUGAAGACGACCUUGUUCCAGAAAUGGCAGAGGAUAGUUGCCCCGCCGGGUAAGAGAGAGUCUCAACGACCGGCUAGUAAAAGAAGAAAGCGGAAGGGCAGUACAUCCGGACCGGGCAACAAUGCACCUCCUGCGCCCAGCAAGAAGCGUUCACCAGGGCCAAAUUUUUCUCUAGCAUCGCAGGAUGUGAUGGUCGUGGGUGAGCCUUCUUUGAUGGGUGGUGAAUUCGGGGAUGAGGACGAACGAUUAAUUACAAGGUUGGAAAAUACGCAGUACGAUGCCGCAAAUAAUCUGGAUCCUCAUAGUCAUGAUGCAUCUGGUGGACCACCGCCACAUCCUCAUCAGUUCCACUCGGAACCAACACCGGGUAAUUCUUGGCCACCAGAUCGUGGUCCUGGUCCACCACAAGGAGGUCCUGGUAAUCAGAGCUCUAGAUAUGCAACAAGUCUAAAAUUUUGCUGAAUUAGUUGAACUAAUUUAUGAAAAUAACUGAUAUCAGAUAUUGAAACUAUUACUUGAGUUCUGAAUUUGGAGAUUGAUGUCAUUAUUCGGUUGAUAUCUCGGAAAAACCAAUACUAAAGAUGCUCAACUCAACAGAAGAUUAAAGAAAAGAAAAAUAAAGUUUAAGGAAAAGGGAGUUCAAGGUGGUCAAGCGGGUGCGGCUGCAGGUGUACAGGGAACGCAGGAUGCCAGUCAACAGCAGCAAGACAA